UGGGUCGGGGUUUCGUACGUAGCAGAGC
rnacentral:piRNA from 6 species